rnacentral:rRNA from 1 species
CCUACGGGUGGCAGCAGUGAGGAAUAUUGGUCAAUGGGCGCGAGCCUGAACCAGCCAAGUAGCGUGAAGGAUGACUGCCCUACGGGUUGUAAACUUCUUUUAUAAAGGAAUAAAGUGAGGCACGUGUGCCUUUUUGUAUGUACUUUAUGAAUAAGGAUCGGCUAACUCCGUGCCAGCAGCCGCGGUAAUACGGAGGAUCCGAGCGUUAUCCGGAUUUAUUGUGUUUAAAGGGAGCGUAGAUGGGUUGUUAAGUCAGUUGUGAAAGUUCGCGGCUCAACCGUAACAUUGCAGGUGAUACUGGCAGUCUUGAGUACAGUGGAGGUAGGCGGAAUUCGUGGUGUAGCGGUGAAAUGCUUAGAUAUCACGAAGAACUCCGAUUGCGAAGGCAGCUUACUGAACCGCCACUGACAUUGAUGCUCGAAAGGGGGGGUAUCGAACAGGAUUAGAGACCCGUGUAGUC